rnacentral:tmRNA from 1 species
GGGGGUGUUCUGGAUUCGACCCUUGGUUGGACUGUAUUGCUGCCGUUCGAGGAUGAAGGUUGGCCUCGUUAAACAUCCUUCACACAAAUAACAGGCAACUACGAAGAGAUGCCCUUGGCCGCCUAAGCGCGGCCUCGUUUGCGCGGCGACACCUGCUGGCCGCUGCAAACGUCGACAGCAGGCAUAUCACGCGGAGAGAUCCGCAGUUCGCGUGACGUACCUUCAAAACUGGGGAUUGGCUGAUGCCCAAGCGCGUGGAGUCGCGUGACAUCGGCGAGACAAACACGACACUAUAACGGUAGAUGCGUUACGAGAAGGCCAGGGGCACGCGGGUUCAACUCCCGCCACCUCCACCA